rnacentral:lncRNA from 1 species
AUGAGCAUUUUCUUAAUUGCAUGGUUAAUGAAGAAAAUGUGUGAAAUCAGCUCGUACAGUAAUUGUUCAAGUGAAAAAUAUGUGCAAAUAAAUAGUUGUAUAGUGAAAUUUUGCUGUGGCACAAAUUUGCAUAAUUUGAUAUUGUUCUCAAAACAAAAUCUAGGGCUGAAAAAGCAAAAAAAAAAAAUUGUUCCAUUGUAUUUGACGUGCUACAUUUGUAUAGGCUUCCAUCACAAGAUCACAGACGAUGUAGUGGGACUAUGGGGAUACUACCUACAUGUCUACAAGUACGUUUGAGAUGUGACUUAAAUGAUUAGUUUUAUUUUGUGUGACUUACCUUUAAAAGGGAAACAUUUCGAAAGCUGGAAAACAGGAUGGGAUACUGGAUAUAAUGUCCACCAUGGAAAUCUGAAAUAAAAUGCACAACAGUUAAUUCUAGAAUAGACUCGCCUCUCUCUGCGUGUUGUGUUUUUCAGAAAUGUUUGCAUGAAUCAAUAUUGCUCUGGAGGAACGCUGUUGAAAUAAAUCUCUAGAGUGAAAAGUUGCAGUAUUUAUUUUUCUGCCACUGGAGAAAAUACUUAUUGUAUGUAAACAGAGUUAAACACACUGGGCCCUAUUUCCCCCUCUGCCACCCCCACCACCCCCUCAGAAACACACUGGGCCCUAUUUCCCCCUCGGCCACACCCACCACCCCCCCAGAAACACACUGGGCCCUAUUUCCCCCUCUGCCACACCCACCACCACCCCCUCAGAAACACACUGGGCCCUAUUUCCCCCUCUGCCACACCCACCACCACCCCCUCAGAAACACACUGGGCCCUAUUUCCCCCUCUGCCACACCCACCACCCCCUCAGAAACACACUGGGCCCUAUUUCCCCCUCUGCCACACCCACCACCACCCCCUCAGAAACACACUGGGCCCUAUUUCCCCCUCUGCCACACCCACCACCCCCUCAGAAACACACUGGGCCCUAUUUCCCCCUCUGCCACCCCCACUACAAGGAAAACUUGUAGUGUAUUCAAGGUUUAAAAAGGUUUUUGAAGUUUGUAAUUUCCAUUUUGAAAUUUCAGACCUGAUUUUGUGUAUCAAUACUGACAAAAAUGUCCAUUAGUUAUAAUCCACAUUAUAA